UACGUAGGGUGCGAGCGUUGUCCGGAAUUAUUGGGCGUAAAGAGCUCGUAGGCGGCUCGUUGCGUCGGCUGUGAAAAACCCGCAGCUCAACUGUGGGCUUGCAGCUGAUACGGGCGGGCUGGGAUUCGGUAGGGGAGACUGGAAUUCCUGGUGUAGCGGUGAAAUGCGCAGAUAUCAGGAGGAACACCGGUGGCGAAGGCGGGUCUCUGGGCCGAUAUCGACGCUGAGGAGCGAAAGCGUGGGGAGUGAACAGG
rnacentral:rRNA from 1 species